CCUACGGGAGGCAGCAGUGGGGAAUUUUGGACAAUGGGGGCAACCCUGAUCCAGCAAUGCCGCGUGAGUGAAGAAGGCCUUCGGGUUGUAAAGCUCUUUUGUCAGGGAAGAAACAGCAGCUCUAACACAGUCUGCGAAUGACGGUACCUGAAGAAUAAGCACCGGCUAACUACGUGCCAGCAGCCGCGGUAAU
rnacentral:rRNA from 1 species